GACAACGCUGGCGGCGUGCUUAACACAUGCAAGUCGAACGGAGCCUAUCGAAUGAAGUUUCGGAUGGAAUUUGAGAAAGCUUAGUGGCGGACGGGUGAGUAACGCGUGAGGAACCUGCCUUUCAGAGGGGGACAACAGUUGGAAACGACUGCUAAUACCGCAUGACGCAAUAGUAUCGCAUGAUACAGUUGCCAAAGAUUUAUCGCUGAAAGAUGGCCUCGCGUCUGAUUAGCUAGUUGGUGAGGUAAAUGGCUCACCAAGGCGACGAUCAGUAGCCGGCCUGAGAGGAUGAACGGCCACAUUGGGACUGAGAUACGGCCCAGACUCCUACGGGAGGCAGCAGUGGGGAAUAUUGGGCAAUGGGCGAAAGCCUGACCCAGCAACGCCGCGUGAAGGAAGAAGGCCCUCGGGUUGUAAACUUCUUUACCAGGGACGAAGAAAGUGACGGUACCUGGAGAAAAGCAACGGCUAACUACGUG
rnacentral:rRNA from 1 species